CAGUUCAGUUUAGAACGUGAGUUUGAACAAGUUAGUUCGCUACUUGUCGGCAACAACGACCAGUGCGAAAAUAUACGAAUAUACACAAAAUUUAAGCAGAAGCCAAGCUUUCGCAGGAAAUUAAAAAAAAGAAAUAAAUAAAUUUGAGGGAAACUAUUAUUGUUUGCAGUAAAGCAUUAAAAGUGAAAUAAAAUGAGUCUCCCCAGGACAAUAAGCGCUUGACAGCAAGGGUCUGUAAAUACUCGUAUAGUCGGUGGUUAGACGCGCGGCACAAAUUUGGUAAAAAAAGAAGUGAGGCAACGAAAUUGUUUGGAAAGUGCUACUUUUCACAGCUGGCCCGCAUGAGAAACGCCUUCUUCACGCCCUGCUUGACAACUACAACAGACUGGAGCGACCCGUCGUCAAUGAAUCCGAUCCACUGCAGCUGAGCUUCAGGCUGGCGCUAAUGCAAAUCAUCGAUGUGGCAGACGAGCAAGCUGUUCGCUUGGACACCAGGGUAACGCAUGGCAUAUUGAAGAUAACCACGAGACCUCAAAAGCUCAAAUUAAAGUGCUUGCGUGUCAGCAACAUACCACAACAGAAAUUUGAUUGACAUCUUCGAACGAAAAGCGUCGGGCGUAAUUUGGGUUUAGUCAUCUGGCUAUUCUUGAGUUGAGGCGAGGGGCCGGUGUGAAAGAGUAAGUUUAUUUCUGGCACCUGGAUAUGAAGAAGAAUAGCAGACACAUCUGCAAAGAAAUGAAAUUCAUUAAAUUAAUUAUACCAUAAACCUAUAUGAAACUAAGUGUUAAUACUAAUAAAAGUGCAAUUAGUAAAAGUUUA